rnacentral:rRNA from 1 species
GACGAACGCUGGCGGCGUGCUUAACACAUGCCAGUCGAACGGAAAGGCCCCGUUGUGGGUACUCGAGCGGCGAACGGGGGAGUGAGACGUGAGUAAGCAUCCCUUGCCUUCGGGAUAACUUCAGGAAAGGGAGGCUAGUACUGGAUAGGAAUACUUGCUUCAUGCGGGGGGUUGGAUAGCGACGGCGGGUUUGGAUGGAAUCGCUGCGUUUCAGCGUGCUGGUGGGGUAGUGGCUUACCAAGGCGUUGUCGGGUAGCCGGCCUGAGUGGGCGACCGGCCACGUUGGGACUGAGAUACGGCCCAGACUCCUACGGGAGGCAGCAGUGGGGAAUAUUGCACAAUGGGCGGAAGCCUGAUGCAACAACGCCGCGUGCGGGAUGACGGCCUUCGGGUUGUAAACCGCGUUCAGCAGGGGCGAAGCUUGUGGUGACGGUACCUUCAAAAGAAGCACCGGCUAACUACGUG